GCGGGUCAUGCCGGGAACUCUAGGGAGACUGCCGGUGACAAACCGGAGGAAGGUGGGGAUGACGUCAAGUCAUCAUGGCCCUCACGGGGUGGGCUACAAACGUGCUACAAUGGGCGGCACAGAGGGCUGCAAACCAGCAAUGGCNAGCGAAUCCCAAAAAACCGCUCGUAGUCCGGAUAGGAGUCUGCAACUCGACUCCUUGAAGUCGGAAUCGCUAGUAAUCGCGAAUCAGAAUGUCGCGGUGAAUACGUUCCCGGGCCUUGNACACA
rnacentral:rRNA from 1 species